GAUGAACGCUGGCGGCGUGCCUAAUACAUGCAAGUCGAGCGAAUGGAUUGAGAGCUUGCUCUCAAGAAGUUAGCGGCGGACGGGUGAGUAACACGUGGGUAACCCGCCCAUAAGACUGGGAUAACUCAGGGAAACCGGGGCUAAUACCGGAAAACAUUUUGAACUGCAUGGUUCGAAAUUGAAAGGCGGCUUCGGCUGGCACUUAUGGAUGGCCCCGCGUCGCAUUAGCUAGUUGGUGAGGUAACGGCUCACCAAGGCAACGAUGCGUAGCCGACCUGAGAGGGUGAUCGGCCACACUGGGACUGAGACACGGCCCAGACUCCUACGGGAGGCAGCAGUAGGGAAUCUUCCGCAAUGGACGAAAGUCUGACGGAGCAACGCCGCGUGAGUGAUGAGGGCUUUCGGGUCGUAAAACUCUGUUGUUAGGGAAGAACAAGUGCUAGUUGAAUAAGCUGGCACCUUGACGGUACCUAACCAGAAAGCCACGGCUAACUACGUGCCAGCCGCCGCUGUAAGAC
rnacentral:rRNA from 1 species